rnacentral:rRNA from 1 species
AGGUUAAGCUAGUAAGGGCACACGGAGGAUGCCUUGGCGCCAGGAGCCGAUGAAGGACGGGACGAACACCGAUAUGCUUCGGGGAGCUGUAAGUGAGCUUUGAUCCG